GAUGAACGCUAGCGACAGGCCUAACACAUGCAAGUCGAGGGGCAGCGCGGGAGAAGCUUGCUUUUCCUGGCGGCGACCGGCGCACGGGUGCGUAACAGGUGUGCAAUCUGUCCUAUACCAGAGCAUAGCCCAGCGAAAGUUGGAUUAAUUCUCUAUGUGAGCCGAGAGGGCAUCCUUUUGGUUUGAAACGCGAGGGUAUAGGGUGAGCACGCUUCUGAUUAGCUAGUUGGUGAGGUAACGGCUCACCAAGGCGACGAUCAGUAGGGGUUCUGAGAGGAAGGUCCCCCACAUUGGAACUGAGACACGGUCCAA
rnacentral:rRNA from 1 species